UCUGCCUCCCGAGUGCUGGGAUUAAAGGCUUGCGCCACCACACCUGGCUACCCAGCCUCUUUUUAAUUAUUUUAUCAUUGCUUUUAGAGACAGAGUAUUAUGUAUUCAGUAUGGCCUCAAAAUUGCUAUGUAACUGAGGAUGACCUUGAAUUUCUGACUUUUCCACCUCCUAAGUAUGGGGUUACAUGUGCCAUCAUGCUUGAUUUUGUGUCGUGCUGGGGAUCAAACCUUGGGCUUUGUGCAUAGUAGGCAAGCACUCUACCCACUGAGCCACACCUUAGCUCUCCUUUUUUAUUUUAUUCAUUUAGAGACUGUUUCGUUGACUUAACUAGGCUUCCUAUGAACUUGCUAUCCUCUUGCCUCUGCCUCCUGAGAGCUGUGAUUACAAUGAUAUAGCACCAGGCCCAGCUUCAUUCUGUUUUCAUGGGGAUAAAGAUGAAUAGAAAAUAUUGUUAAUGGUUCUGAUGACAGAAUCACUUCUGGAGAUUAGAAAAUAACAGUUUUGUAGAUGCCAUUAUAGUAAUUAUUUCAUCAAUGGAUACUGAGAGCAUUGAGUAAAAGCUUUUUGAGGCUCUAACUAUUCACAGGAUGAUAAAGUAUUACUGUACAGAUUGCUUAUUAAUUAAUAGAAAUACAUUUAUUUAUAAUGAAAUCUGGCAGGUAUUAGUUAUUCAAGUCAUAAAGUUUGCCAUCAAUAAUGAAAACACCCUUUGCUUCCUGAGGUGAUUCCCUGGAGAGGGAGGGAGGAGAGGAAGGAAGAGAUUACCUCAUAGCUCUCCUAACAACAAUAAGAAAACAUCCAUCAGGAACGGAGCCAGUGACUCCAGAUAGAAAGGCAUUUUCAAAAAGGGCAGCAUCUUGCAACUUGGUGGUUCACAGCUAUUGCCCCCUUACUUGAGGUGAGGACAGGAAUAUCCGGAGCACAGGGUUGUCUUCAGCUAUAGCAAGUUUUGAGGCCAGCCUGGACUGUGUAAUACCAAGUCUUGAAAAACAAAAGCAGGACUGGCAAGGUGACUAGGCAAAUAAAGACACUUCCCACCAACCUGGACAACCUAGAUUCAGUCCCUGGAGCCCACUUGGUGGAAGGAGAGAACUAACUCCUGUAAGUUUUCCUCUGACCCCAAAUGCAUCAUGGUACAUGAGCACGUGCACACUCACACACAAAAUAAACAAACAAAUAAAUAAAAUCUGUGGGUUUUAUUUUAAAGUCAGUAUCAUGAACAGUGAACUAAAAAUGACUAAGAUACUAUUUUAGAUCAAAGGAAAUGAAGGGAACUCCCUCACAGUGCUGGGCUCCCUCCCAGAGCCCAGAUUAGGCACAAACCACACACAAACACCAUUUUCACAGAGAAAUCCCUUAUUAAGCUGAUAGUAAAGGUAAAAAUGGUUGCUCUCUAACUUAGGCAGAAAAACAGCAGCAAGUGACUUUGCAGGUGUAAUUUUUGAGAAGAGAAAAAGUGGGGGCUGUGUUACAGUGGGCUAGGAUGUAGUGAUAAGGUUUGUUGGUCAUGUUAUUAACAUGGGGGUUUUGAUUGGUGGACCUUUAUAGCCUCAGGAAUGAGUCUACAUGAGAAAAUGUCCAAAUGAGGGAAUAGGCCUUUAUGCCUAGCUUUAGGGAUAUAAUCUGUGGUUUACAGGAGAGAGGGAGGGAAAAGGCAAGGCCUGGCAGUGCCAUGGGCAUGCUAGAGCCCUUCAGAAAACUAAUGAGACAAGACAACCAGGUACAGGGUCCAUAGCCCUUGGUUGAAUUGUUAGGCUGAGUCAGAAUAGCUGAAUACGAAGUAUAUUAAACACUAAAUACAUUUUAUCAGAAGUAAAAGUUUAAUAUAAUUAAUAAAUUGUGUGCAUCUGAAGUAACCUUGUUCUUAGGAGAACUGUUGAAUUAUUAAAGAUUGAAAUGUCCUAUUGGUUACAAUCUGCUCUCAGUUGGUCCA
rnacentral:lncRNA from 1 species